AGAUUUAUAGUUUAGUGGAUAAAAUGCCUGUUUCCGAAACAGGAGAGCAUGGGUUCGAAUCCCAUUAAAUCUA
rnacentral:tRNA from 2 species